UUUUAGGUGAAGCUCGCAUGGCCCCCAAGAAAGUUCGUCCUCUCAUGAAACUAAACGUAUAAGAAUCAACCUAGAGAAGCGAGCCAUCUUGUUGGAAGAUGAGGUGAAGGGGGAGGCUGAACGAGGGAAGGUACUACUCAGUCUCAAGUACGCCAAACAGAGGAGUGCUCUCAUCGUUGGUAUCGUCCGCUGUGCCCACCUUCCUUCCAUGGACUCCAACGGCUUCUCAGAUCCUUACGUCAAAGUGCAACUUAAACCAGAUCCAACCCACAAAAAGUAUCGCACUGCCAUCAAGUGGAAGAAUCUAAAACCCAGAAUUCAAUGAGGAGUUUGU